UACGGGGGGGGUAAGCGUUGUCCGGAAUUAUUGGGCGUAAAGAGCUCGUAGGCGGUCUGUCGCGUCUGCUGUGAAAACUCAGGGCUUAACCCUGAGCUUGCAGUGGGUACGGGCAGACUAGAGUGCGGUAGGGGAGACUGGAAUUCCUGGUGUAGCGGUGAAAUGCGCAGAUAUCAGGAGGAACACCGGUGGCGAAGGCGGGUCUCUGGGACGUUACUGACGCUGAGACGCGAAAGCGUGGGGAGCAAACAGG
rnacentral:rRNA from 1 species